GAGAGAGAGAGAGAGAGAGAGAGAGAGAGAGAGAGAGAGAGAGAGAGUGAAGGCUGAAGAGAACAUUUUCAGCUUAGACUCUGCAUAUUUAUAAUUAUAGCUUGAAAACUAAUUUUUAUUAGAAAACAAAUUUAGUAGAAAACUUUAUUCAGUCAUAUAUUCUGGGUGUGAUAUCAUGAGGACAGUGGAUCACGUUUCACUUUACUUUGGCAUUCUUCUGGCAGUCACAGUUAUUCUAAAGUGUGAAAGCCGUCGACACGAGAACGAACAGUCCGAGACGGUGACAUUAACACGGUCUGGACUCAGAAACACUACACCUCCAAGCAGACAUCACUCUCGGUACCAAGCAGAAAAGAUUAUUCGAAACUGUUCUCUGUGCAAGAUCGUUGUUAAAGGGCUGAUGAGCUAUGUUAGGAUACGAUAUACAAGGGGAACGAAUGCCCUGUGUCACAUCUUUUUACGCAAGCAUAAAAAAAAAUGCCAAGAAACAGUUCAACGCAAGCUUAUGGAACUCAAACCCAAAAUAAUGAAAAAGUUGUUCCCUGGUGGUGCAGUGGGUGUGUGUAGGAAGAUUAAAGCUUGCAAAUGAAAUUAUUAAUGAAUGCGCUGUGUGUGACUGCAUGUGUGUACUGUACUGUACAUCUUGGUUCAGUUUCAUUUCUUUUUAUAAUUUUCUUGUAAAACUACCAAAACGUUUCACUUUGGCCAAUACAGCUUAAUACUGCAGAAUUUUCUUAGACUUAGGAUGUGUCUCAAAUUCAAAUCCAAAACAAUUGGCACCCCUCAAAACAAUAAUGGGGGAAAAAAGACUUUAUUAAAUAAACCAUUUACAUAAUUACCUAAUGUAAUACAAUAUCUUAAAAUCUUGGCUAGGUGUAAAAAAAAAAAUAAGAAGCUAUUUUAAAACCAAAAGUCACUAUAGUGGAAAAUAACUUUCUACUCCAUGUUUUGCAUUAAAACAAAUGCACUAAUUGAAAAAUGUAGAAAAGUUUAGUAAAAAGAUUAACUCAAGGCUGCCGAAAACAAGCUGCACGUAAGUGGAAAGCUAAAGAUACCACGAUGGUGCGUGGUGUGUCAGACUGGAUAUCACCACCCUCACGCCUGGACAUCACCAUCGGCAGAUUUGAAGCCUGACGAGGCGUUUAACAUCUCUUCCGUUUAGUCUUUGUGGGGGGAAGCUGAAAAACAGAAACAAAGAAAACAAGUAGUCAGAAAAAUACGCUUUAAAAUAAGUUAAUAAACAGGAUUAUUCUUGAAUUUCAUAAUAGAUUUGUACAUUUAGUCAGAAAACAUCUGGAGAAAUGCGGACAUUGUUUCACAUUGCGUUUUUUUUGCUCACCUCAGGUAUUUUACACGGUGAGAUUUUUCCACAAAAUCCUCAGACACAGGACGAGACAGAAACAGGAAUGUUCCAUAAAAGUUUCUUUGUGGAUCCGAGACACGGAAUAAGCAAUCAUACCGAGGAUUUAAGAUUUCUUAAGUGUGCAAUAUGCAAGAAAAUUGUUAAUUCGAUUAUAAAAAGAGUGGACAGAAGAAUUAAAGAGACAACUUUUAAAGUUUGCCUGAGCUUUCUAAAAAAAUACAGACAUAAGUGCUUCAAAAAGCUCAAAAAGCUUCGACCAAAGCUGAUUAAUGGGAUCUUCCCUGAGGGUGGACGGGGCACAUGCUGGAGGAUGGAAAUAUGUUAGUUGGACAUUCUUUACCUUGACCUUACACAAACUUUAUGGAAAAUUUAACAUAGUGUGAGUGAUUUCUUUUCAUUAUCUAGUAAGUAAAAUGUAAUUGAAAAUUACAGAAAUAAACACAGCAGCAAACUCACAACAAUG